CCAUUCUCUAGUAGUACUGUAGUUAGGUUAACACCAUUCUCUAGUAGUACUGUAGAGGUUAACACCAUUCUCUAGUAGUACUGUAGAGGUUAACACCAUUCUCUAGUUGUACUGUAGUUAGGUUAACACCAUUCUCUAGUUGUACUGUAGUUAGGUUAACACCAUUCUCUAGUUGUACUGUAGAGGUUAACACCAUUCUCUAGUUGUACUGUAGUUAGGUUAACACCAUUCUCUAGUAGUACUGUAGUUAGGUUAACACCAUUCUCUAGUAGUACUGUAGAGGUUAACACCAUUCUCUAGUAGUACUGUAGAGGUUAACACCAUUCUCUAGUAGUACUGUAGAGGUUAACACCAUUCUCUAGUAGUACUGUAGAGGUUAACACCAUUCUCUAGUAGUACUGUAGAGGUUAACACCAUUCUCUAGUUGUACUGUAGUUAGGUUAACACCAUUCUCUAGUAGUACUGUAGUUAGGUUAACACCAUUCUCUAGUAGUACUGUAGUUAGGUUAACACCAUUCUCUAGUUGUACUGUAGUUAGGUUAACACCAUUCUC